rnacentral:lncRNA from 1 species
CCCCAGGCUGGGAGUGGCUGCCGGCCCCUCUGUGACUUGCACCUGGCCCGCAGCAGGCUGGGGAGGUGCUGCUGGCCCCACUGCUGAGCCGCCUCCCUCACCGCACCUCUGCUGCCCCUCCAAACCAGCCAAGGUCAGACCUUGAUCUGACCUGAUUAAGCGCUUGUUUAGUACAGGACAGACCCUCAAGGCUUAUGCUUAGGUAAUGGCCCUAAUGGACGCCCUGACGGACACGUCCGGGACCCAGGACCCGGAGACCAGGAAUCUGCAGGUCUCGGGGAGCGGCAGAACCUGAAACUCAAAAAUACCAGGCUUGAUCGCCUUCUCUUCGGUAGUUUAAGAACCAGGCUUUCUUUGGCAUUGUACACCUGCCAUGUGCAAGGCUGUGUCGUGCUCUGGGGAUUCAGCCUCUGUGCAAACUAUGACUCCAUACAGAUGAAGUCCAAGAACAGGCAAAACGCAUCGCAGAAGGACCCCCUGGAGCCCCUGGCAGGACACAUCUGAAAGCACGGAGCCAGACCUCUGCAGCCCCCUCCAGCGGGCAGGUUCUGCGGGCAGCCAUCUCCUCGCAGGCCAGAACACCCCACAUCACUCCAGGAGGGUUCACCACCUUUGAGAAGAGAGGACUCCAGUGUCUGUUCGCUCUGGAAAUGUGGGCAUGUUCCCAUUCCAAAGGUGAUAGGAUCUGAGGGGAGGAUCCUUCCCAUUUUCAAAGCCUCCCUAAAAUCCCACUGAGUAGUGGGGAGGAGUGCAAGUCUACCCUUUCCCCGAACCACCCA